GGACUACCGGGGUAUCUAAUCCUGUUUGCUCCCCUAGCUUUCGUGCCUCAGUGUCAGGAGUUGUCCAGGGACUCGCCUUCGCCACUGGUGUUCCUCUCGAUAUCUACGCAUUUCACUGCUACACCGAGAAUUCCAGUCCCCCCUCCAACCCUCGAGCAGGAUAGUAUUCAAUGCAGUUUCCGGGUUAAGCCCGGAGAUUUCACAUCAAACUUACCCUGCCACCUACGCACCCUUUACGCCCAGUGAAUCCGAACAACGCUUGGGACCUCUGUAUUACCGCGGCUGCUGGCAC
rnacentral:rRNA from 1 species